rnacentral:sRNA from 1 species
AGAUUCUUGAACUUUCUUUCGAUUGUAGCAUUUCUCCUUUCACGAUAAAGUACAGGAUCCUUUCUGGAAUGGAGGUCUUAUGAGCUGCUAUCGAACAAGGUAGAGCCUGUUGGUGACCUGCACCCAGGAGCCCUCCAGUCAGUACUGAUUGAAUGACUCAAGGCUGCCUCUCUGCAAAGUUGAGGUAGCUCAUGGUGCUCCCUUCCUUGGUGCAGACGGGCAGUUCAAACCACACAAACUCCAGCCUGUGGGAGAGGGAUCCUUCAUCCUGGACGCACCUGCCCUCUGCCCAGCCACUAUAAAAACCAGAGCCACAUGCCCCUUCUUUUGCUUGAGUGUGGGCCCUGCUGUCCCCAGAAAGCCUCAUUACUUGAAAGCAGGAUAUACAUAGGCUGCUGUCCAGAGAGGGGAUGAGCGCAUGGAAAGGAAUUACACUCUGUCUGCACUUCCCUGAGGAAGAGGCACCUGGGCGCUGCUGCUCUCCUCCCAGGCUUGUGGUGGACAUUCUGGCUCCGCACUACAGGACGUCGGGACUGGGCACUUCCUUCCAACAUGGCCGCCACUGCCUCUCCGCAGCCACUCAC